rnacentral:rRNA from 1 species
GAUCCUGGCUCAGAAUCAACGCUGGCGGCGUGCCUAACACGUGCAAGUCGAACGCGAAAGGGGCUUCGGCCCUGAGUAGAGUGGCGUCCGGGUGAGUAACGCGUGGAUAAUCUGCCUCCGGGUGGGGAAUAACUCAGGGAAACUUGAGCUAAUACCGCAUAAUGCAGCGGCUCGACAUCGAGACAGUUGUUAAAGCAGCAAUGCGCCUGGAGAGGAGUCCGCGUCCGAUUAGCUAGUUGGCAGGGUAAUGGCCUACCAAGGCGACGAUCGGUAGCUGGUCUGAGAGGACGGCCAGCCACAAUGGCACUGAAACACGGGCCAUACUCCUACGGGAGGCAGCAG